rnacentral:tRNA from 1 species
GCCUGGGUGGCUCAGUCGGUUAGGCAUCUGCCUUGGGCUCAGGUCAUGAUCCCAGGGUUGUGGGAUUGAAUCCCACACCAGGCU